GAUGAAGAACGUAGCGAAAUGCGAUACGUAAUGUGAAUUCAGAAUUCAGUGAAUCAUCGAGUCUUUGAACGCACAUUGCGCCCCCUGGUAUUCCGGGGGGCAUGCCUGUCCGAGCGUCAUUGCUGCCCUCAAGCACGGCUUGUGUGUUGGGCCUCCGUCCUCCUCCCGGGGGACGGGCCCGAAAGGCAGCGGCGGCACCGCGUCCGGUCCUCGAGCGUAUGGGGCUUCGUCACCCGCUCUUGUAGGCCCGGCCGGCGCUUGCCGACACAUCAAUCUUUUUUCCAGGUUGACCUCGGAUCAGGUAGGGAUACCCGCUGAACUUAAGCAUAUCAAUAAGCGGAGGA
rnacentral:misc_RNA from 1 species